rnacentral:rRNA from 1 species
CCCAGACUCCUACGGGAGGCAGCAGUGAGGAAUAUUGGUCACUGGACGAGAGUCUGAACCAGCCAAGUAGCGUGAAGGAUGACUGCCCUAUGGGUUGUAAACUUCUUUUAUAUGGGAAUAAAAUGUUCCACGUGUGGGAUUUUGUAUGUACCAUAUGAAUAAGGAUCGGCUAACUCCGUGCCAGCAGCCGCGGUAAUACGGAGGAUCCGAGCGUUAUCCGGAUUUAUUGGGUUUAAAGGGAGCGUAGGUGGAUUGUUAAGUCAGCGGUAAAAGGUCGGGGCUCAACCCCGGCCUGCCGUUGAAACUGGCGGCCUCGAGUGGGCGAGAAGUAUGCGGAAUGCGUGGUGUAGCGGUGAAAUGCAUAGAUAUAACGCAGAACUCCGAUUGCGAAGGCAGCAUACCGGCGCCCGACUGACGCUGAGGCACGAAAGCGUGGGGAUCGAACAGGAUUAGAUACCCCUGUACUC